AGAGUUUGAUCCUGGCUCAGGAUGAACGUGGGCGGCGUGCGUAAUACAUGCAAGUCGAACGAAGAAAUUAGUGUAGCAAUACCUGAUUUUCUUAGUGGCGAACGGGUGAGUAACGCGUUGGUGACCUGCCCCAAAGAGUGGGAUAACAGUUCGAAAGAGCUGCUAAUACCUCAUGUGAUCAUUUGGAUUAGAUGCCUUAUGAUUAAAGGAGCUUGCUCCGCUUUGGGAGGGGCCUGCGUACCAUCAGCUAGUUGGUAGGGUAAUGGCCUACCAAGGCUUUGACGGUUAGGGGACCUGAGAGGGUGGCCCCCCACAAUGGAACUGAAACACGGUCCAUACACCUACGGGUGGCAGCAGUAGGGAAUAUUGGUAAUCUGCGAAAGCGGGAACCAGCAACGCCGCGUGUGCGAUGAAGGCCUUCGGGUUGUAAAGCACUUUUCGGGAGGAAGAGGAAGGACUGUACUCCCGGAAUAAGUCUCGGCUAACUACGUGCCAGCAGCCGCGGUAAUACGUAGGAGGCUAACGUUAUCCGGAUUUACUGGGCGUAAAGCGCGUGCAGGCGGUUCGGUAAGAUGGACGUGAAAGCUCCCGGCUCAACUGGGAGAGGUCGUUCAAUACUGUCGAACUAGAGGAUGGUAGAGGGAGGUGGAAUUCCGGGUGUAGUGGUGAAAUGCGCAGAUAUCCGGAGGAACACCAGUGGCGAAAGCGGCCUCCUGGACCAUUCCUAACGCUCAGACGCGAAAGCUAGGGUAGCAAACGGGAUUAGAGACCCCGGUAGUCCUAGCCGUAAACGAUGUGAACUUGGCGUCGGUGGGAUUAAAUCCAUCGGUGUCGAAGCUAACGCGAUAAGUUCACCGCCUGAGGACUACGGCCGCAAGGUUAAAACUCAAAUGAAUUGACGG
rnacentral:rRNA from 1 species